rnacentral:rRNA from 1 species
AACGCUGGCGGCGCGCUUAACACAUGCAAGUCGAGCGAGAACCGGAGCUUCGGCUCCGGGGACAGCGGCGAACGGGUGAGUAACACGUGGGUAAUCUGCCCUCGGUUCUGGGAUAGCCCGGGGAAACUCGGAUUAAUACCGGAUAGCCUCUCUGGCCUUCGGGUCGGCGAGAAAAGGUAGCUUCGGCCUCCGACUGAGGAUGAGCCCGCGGCGGAUUAGCUUGUUGGCGGGGUAACGGCCCACCAAGGCGACGAUCCGUAGCUGGUCUGAGAGGACGAUCAGCCACACUGGGACUGAGACACGGCCCAGACUCCUACGGGAGGCAGCAGUGGGGAAUAUUGGACAAUGGGCGGAAGCCUGAUCCAGCCAUGCCGCGUGUGUGAAGAAGGCCUUUUGGUUGUAAAGCACUUUAAGCGAGGAGGAGGCUACCUGGAUUAAUACUCUAGGAUAGUGGACGUUACUCGCAGAAUAAGCACCGGCUAACUCUGUGCCAGCCGCCGCGGUAACAC